GGCGACGACGGGUAGCCGGCCUGAGAGGGCGACCGGCCACACUGGGACUGAGACACGGCCCAGACUCCUACGGGAGGCAGCAGUGGGGAAUAUUGCACAAUGGGCGCAAGCCUGAUGCAGCGACGCCGCGUGAGGGAUGACGGCCUUCGGGUUGUAAACCUCUUUCAGCAGGGAAGAAGCGNAAGUGACGGUACCUGCAGAAGAAGCGCCGGCUAACUACGUGCCAGCAGCCGCGGUAAUACGUAGGGCGCAAGCGUUGUCCGGAAUUAUUGGGCGUAAAGAGCUCGUAGGCGGUUUGUCGCGUCUGCUGUGAAAACCUAAGGCUCAACCUUGGGCUUGCAGUGGGUACGGGCAGACUAGAGUGCGGUAGGGGUGACUGGAAUUCCUGGUGUAGCGGUGGAAUGCGCAGAUAUCAGGAGGAACACCGAUGGCGAAGGCAGGUCACUGGGCCGCAACUGACGCUGAGGAGCGAAAGCAUGGGGAGCGAACAGGAUUAGAUACCCUGGUAGUCCAUGCCGUAAACGUUGGGCACUAGGUGUGGGGCUCAUUCCACGAGCUCUGUGCCGCAGCAAACGCAUUAAGUGCCCCGCCG
rnacentral:rRNA from 1 species